rnacentral:rRNA from 1 species
AUGGCGAUCUCGCGCCUGCGCAUCCUCCCCCUCCCCUCCUCGUCGUCGUUCUUCUCCGCGCCCUCGCCUCCCCCCCACGCAAGCCGCCGCGAGAGGCGGCCUCGAUCCCUCGCCAGGUUCCGCUCUCUCCCUCCCUCUCUGGAUUCCAUUUCCUGGGGCCUCGACCCCCGCGCGCGCGCCCGCCCCGCCGUCGCUUCCCCGUCCCGCGGCUCCAUCCCGUGGCCCGUCGCCGGCAAGCCGCCGGCUGCGAGGAAGAAGGCAGGCGCGGCGCUCGGCACACCACUGGUUCGGGGCUCCUGA